rfam:Picea glauca, whole genome shotgun sequence.
ACAUGCCUUCAUUAUAGCAUUAAUUCAUUGGAUCCAAUUAGAACUCCAUAGUUAAGCAUGCUCAAGAUAUAAUAGUAUUGGGAUGGGUGACUUUCCGGGAAUUCCUAUUGUUUUACAAGCC